rnacentral:rRNA from 1 species
GAUGAACCACCUUCGGGUGGGGAUUAGUGGCGAACGGGUGAGUAACACGUGGGCAAUCUGCCCUGCACUCUGGGACAAGCCCUGGAAACGGGGUCUAAUACCGGAUAUGAGCUUCCACCGCAUGGUGGGGGCUGUAAAGCUCCGGCGGUGCAGGAUGAGCCCGCGGCCUAUCAGCUUGUUGGUGAGGUAACGGCUCACCAAGGCGACGACGGGUAGCCGGCCUGAGAGGGCGACCGGCCACACUGGGACUGAGACACGGCCCAGACUCCUACGGGAGGCAGCAGUGGGGAAUAUUGCACAAUGGGCGCAAGCCUGAUGCAGCGACGCCGCGUGAGGGAUGACGGCCUUCGGGUUGUAAACCUCUUUCAGCAGGGAAGAAGCGAAAGUGACGGUACCUGCAGAAGAAGCGCCGGCUAACUACGUGCCAGCAGCCGCGGUAAUACGUAGGGCGCGAGCGUUGUCCGGAAUUAUUGGGCGUAAAGAGCUCGUAGGCGGCUUGUCGCGUCGGUUGUGAAAGCCCGGGGCUUAACCCCGGGUCUGCAGUCGAUACGGGCAGGCUAGAGUUCGGUAGGGGAGAUCGGAAUUCCUGGUGUAGCGGUGAAAUGCGCAGAUAUCAGGAGGAACACCGGUGGCGAAGGCGGAUCUCUGGGCCGAUACUGACGCUGAGGAGCGAAAGCGUGGGGAGCGAACAGGAUUAGAUACCCUGGUAGUCCACGCCGUAAACGGUGGGCACUAGGUGUGGGCAACA